rnacentral:rRNA from 1 species
UACGUAGGGGGCAAGCGUUGUCCGGAUUUAUUGGGCGUAAAGAGCGUGUAGGCGGCCAAGCAGGUCCGCUGUGAAAACUCGAGGCUCAACCUCGAGACGUCGGUGGAAACCGUUUGGCUAGAGUCCGGAAGAGGAGAGUGGAAUUCCCGGUGUAGCGGUGAAAUGCGCAGAUAUCGGGAAGAACACCCGUGGCGAAGGCGGCUCUCUGGGACGGUAUUGACGCUGAGACGCGAAAGCGUGGGGAGCGAACAGG